rnacentral:rRNA from 1 species
UACGUAGGGCGCAAGCGUUGUCCGGAAUUAUUGGGCGUAAAGAGCUCGUAGGCGGCUUGUCACGUCGGGUGUGAAAGCCCGGGGCUUAACCCCGGGUCUGCAUUCGAUACGGGCUAGCUAGAGUGUGGUAGGGGAGAUCGGAAUUCCUGGUGUAGCGGUGAAAUGCGCAGAUAUCAGGAGGAACACCGGUGGCGAAGGCAGGUCUCUGGGCCACUACUGACGCUGAGAAGCGAAAGCAUGGGGAGCGAACAGG